rnacentral:rRNA from 1 species
AUACGUAGGGAGCGAGCGUUGUCCGGAUUUACUGGGUGUAAAGGGUGCGUAGGCGGCGAGAUAAGUCAGCUGUGAAAACUAUGGGCUCAACCCAUAGCCUGCAGUUGAAACUGUUUCGCUUGAGUGAAGUAGAGGUAGGCGGAAUUCCCGGUGUAGCGGUGAAAUGCGUAGAGAUCGGGAGGAACACCAGUGGCGAAGGCGGCCUACUGGGCUUUAACUGACGCUGAAGCACGAAAGCAUGGGUAGCAAACAGGAUUAGAUACCCUGGUAGUCCAUGCUGUAAACGAUGAUUACUAGGUGUGGGGGGUCUGACCCCUUCCGUGCCGGAGUUAACACAAUAAGUAAUCCACCUGGGGAGUACGACCGCAAGGUUGAA